GCUCUAUCCCCUAACUCCAAGUGGCCAGAGGGCUACUGAUGAGCAAAUUUAAGUUACACCCUUUCUGAGUACAAAGUCCGGGGUUAUGGAGAAGACCUUCAUUGAUAAACUAAGUCUAAUUUUGUAAUGAGUAAUAUGAAAGAUUGGCCUUGAUCCAUUCUGGCUUAUGGAUGAGGGAACAUGUGUUAUUUCUUGUGUAUCCAAAGACUUUUCCGUAGUGUCCUGUUGCAUUUUUGGAUUAUGAAGAAAUGGUCUUCUCAUAGCCAUAUGAGACUUAUAGAACAGGGAUUUCUCCAUUAUCACUUGGCUCAGACUCUGGAACCAGUGAAGGAUACUCCUUCUUUUUACCCCAUGGUUUCAUGAUGUACAAAUGAGACAGGUGAAUGGUAACUAUGGACCAGAAAGGGGUAUGUUCUACAACUUGAAAGAUACUGAACAUAACAGGCAUUUCUGCAAAGUGAAGACUUCACAGAGGAGUAGCUUCUCUGGCUUAAACAAGGCAUCUUUGUUAAGAUAUAAUCAACCACACAGCCAUGACUUCACCUUUAUGAGAAAGAGAAAUACUUGGAAAGGCAGGAUUUUCCAACUACAUGGCGGUUCAGAGCAUAGUUACUGCUGUUAGCUAAAUUGGAUUGCUCUCAUCCAUUUGCUACUGACAUGCUGUGUGACCCAGGAUCAGUCACAAAGUUCUCUAAGCCUUAUUCUUAUCUGGGGAAUGCAAAUACACAGAGUACCUACCUAGAAGAUUUCUGGAAAGGAUAAAAUUAGAUCAUUUGUGGAAAAAAAAAAAAGCUCAGCAUAUCAGUAAUGUUCAAAAACAUUAGCUGUUAGUAUUAUACUCCCCAAACAGCCUUUGUCAGGCUACGUGUGUUAAAGAAAAUGGGAGAAUCAUUCAUCAUAACCACAGAGACUGUGGUCGAGUUUUGAGAAGCCUUUGAUGUGGCUGGCUGUCCAGUUUUCUCAGCACCAUUUAUUGAAGAGACUUUCACCCCCUUGUAUAUUCUUGCCUCGUACAUCAACUAUACUUCAAUUAGAAAAAAUAAAUAAAUAAAAUUCCCAACA
rnacentral:lncRNA from 1 species